UACCGGCGGCUCGAGUGGUGGCCACUAUUACUGGGCUUAAAGCGUUCGUAGCUGGUUUGUUAAGUUUCUGGGGAAAUCUUCCGGCUUAACCGGAAGGCGUCUCAGGGAUACUGGCAGACUAGGGACCGGAAGAGGUGAGGGGUACUCCAGGGGUAGGAGUGAAAUCCUGUAAUCCUUGGGGGACCACCUGUGGCGAAGGCGCCUCACCAGGACGGCUCCGACAGUGAGGGACGAAAGCUGGGGGAGCAAACCGG
rnacentral:rRNA from 1 species